GUGUACCGCACGUACACCCGGUUCCGCCGCGCCGUGUGCACCCACCUGACGACCGGCAGCUACGUGAUUCUGUUCGCC
rnacentral:sRNA from 1 species